rnacentral:rRNA from 1 species
CCAGACUCCUACGGGAGGCAGCAGUGGGGAAUAUUGCACAAUGGGGGAAACCCUGAUGCAGCGACGCCGCGUGAGUGAAGAAGUAUUUCGGUAUGUAAAGCUCUAUCAGCAGGGAAGAAAAUGACGGUACCUGACUAAGAAGCCCCGGCUAACUACGUGCCAGCAGCCGCGGUAAUACGUAGGGGGCAAGCGUUAUCCGGAUUUACUGGGUGUAAAGGGAGCGUAGACGGCAUGGCAAGUCAGAUGUGAAAGCCCGGGGCUCAACCCCGGGACUGCAUUUGAAACUGUCAGGCUGGAGUGCAGGAGAGGUAAGUGGAAUUCCUAGUGUAGCGGUGAAAUGCGUAGAUAUUAGGAGGAACACCAGUGGCGAAGGCGGCCUGCUGGACGGUAACUGACGCUGAGGCUCGAAAGCGUGGGGAGCAAACAGGAUUAGAUACCCCCGUAAGA